GACGAACGCUGGCGGCGUGCUUAACACAUGCAAGUCGAACGAGGUCCACUGCGUAGCAAUACAAGGGAAGACCUAGUGGCGAACGGGUGCGUAACACGUGAGGAACUUGUCCCGGUCUCUGGGAUAACAGUUGGAAACGACUGCUAAUACCGGAUGACGUCGGAAUCUCGCAUGGGAUACUGACGAAAGGGUUACUGGGAUCGGGAGAGCCUCGCGGCCUAUCAGCUUGUUGGUGAGGUAACGGCUCACCAAGGCAUCGACGGGUAGCUGGUCUGAGAGGAUGAUCAGCCACACUGGGACUGAGACACGGCCCAGACUCCUACGGGAGGCAGCAGUGGGGAAUCUUGCGCAAUGGGCGAAAGCCUGACGCAGCAACGCCGCGUGCGGGAAGAAGGCCCUCGGGUUGUAAACCGCUUUCAGUAGGAACGAAAAUGACGGUACCUGCAGAAGAAGGUGCGGCCAACUACGUGCCAGCAGCCGCGGUAAU
rnacentral:rRNA from 1 species